UCUCUUUCCGAUAUGAGGUUGGAAGUUUGAUACAAACAUUUUAUUUUAACUGGGCUUUUUUAUUUAGUAUUGAAUAAUGCUAAUUAGUACGAUAACAUUUUUUCGUUCUAAACGCAUGAAUUGAAAGGCCUUAUUAUUAUACACGUUUGACCCAAUCAAUUAGUACUUCUUUCCAAUCUUCCAUUAUUUUGUUUUCAUCUCCGAUAUCAACUUUCAAUCGGAAUUGAGACCAGCCAUUAACGGUUUUUUGGCUGGUAAACAUAACUUUAUUCUAUUGAAUGUUAAAAGCCUCCAAUGACUUCCUUAACAAAAAAGAAAGCCUUCAAGGACAGCGAUGAUGGCUCUCUUCUCUUGGAUGGUAAAAACCAAAUAUAUUUACAAGCAUUCUUCCUUGUGGCUUUGCAAUAA
rnacentral:lncRNA from 1 species